ensembl:lncRNA
AAAAGAACAAGUUAGAAAAUAAAUAGUUCUUUAGGGUAUAUUAGUAAUCCUGGUAAAAGAAUUUAAGGGACAGUUUAAGUCUGAAAUCUUAAAGCCUAUACUCUUAGAACUCCAAGGUGGAGGUACUGAAGCCUCAAUAUCAAUAGGGUACAUGGAUUUGAUCCCUGAUCAGGGAAGUUCCACAUGCCGUUCACUAAGGCCAGAGAAUAAAUAUAAAUAAAUUCAUUUACAAAUAUUGCCUUAUUUUAUGCUCAUGACAUAUCUAGCAGGUAGACUUCACUAUCAUUUUUCACAGGUGAGGAAACUGAUAAAAUCAGUUAAAUUGCCCCAAAUCACACACCAUGAAGUCACACAGCUAUCUAGUGGUGGAGUCACAUGUGAAAGCCUCUAGAACAUCUGCUGCAAUUGGACUAUGUGUUCCUCUAGGGCAAGAUCACGAUAUGUGAACAAUCUCCAUAUAGCGGGCACCAGUGAAGGUCAUUGACUGGACUAUGACAGAGCAUGACUUUACUGGAGAGAUAAAGCCUGAAAAUCAAGCUGGCACUAGAUAUAAUAGAAAAACAAAACAAAACAAAACUGUAAAUGAUGCAAAUGCCCAUUGUAAACAAUGCAAAUGUCCAUGGGGUCACAAAAGAGUUGGAUAUAACUGAGCAACUAAACAACAACAAUUCCAGGUUUGAGGAAAUUAGGAUUAUGUUUAUUUUUUAUGGAGAUAUUGCCAAGAUACAUUGUUAGUUAAAUUUUUUUUUAAAUAGAAAGCAAGCUGUACAAAGGUAUAGAUAUUAUGCUAUAUUUUGUGCAACCAAUGUGUUUCUAUAUAUAUUAUAUAUAUGAUUUAAUAUAUAUAUGAUUAAAG